AAAAUCCGUCGACUUUAGAAAUCGUGAGGGUUCAAGUUUGGUCAGUCCCCUCUAUCCCCA
rnacentral:tRNA from 1 species